CAGAUCUCUGGCCCUGCCAUCUACCACUUCCAGCAGGUUGAGGCCCGCGGUGCCGUGUUCUGGGAGCCCUUGCUGUUCGCCAUCGCUCUUUGCGAGGCCUACAGAGUUGGACUUGGGUGGGCUACUCCCCGCUCCGAGGACUUCAACACCUUGAGGGACGACUACGAGCCCGGCAACUUGGGCUUCGACCCCUUGGGUCUCCUCCCCUCUGACCCCGCCGAAAGGAAGGACAUGCAGACCAAAGAGCUCAACAACGGGCGUCUUGCCAUGAUUGCCAUUGCUGCCUUCGUUGCGCAGGAGUUGGUCUCGGGUGAAGAGAUCUUCGUGCAUUUGUUCAAGAGAUUGGGCCUGUAAAGUGACCGUUCAUUGUAAAUACCUCUCUCAACGACGAACGGCAUGGGUUGUGUAUUUAGAGCAGGGUGGUUAAUGAAGCAUCUGCACUGAGUUUAUUGCAGCUAGAAUUCUGAUUGAUUCGCAGUCGUAGCGUUGAUGAUAUCUGCGUGUGCAGAGUGAGCUCUGCCUAAUUUUUGAGGCUACAGAUGCU
rnacentral:lncRNA from 1 species